UCGAGGAUCUUCGGCAAUGGGCGCAAGCCUGACCGAGCGACGCCGCGUGUGCGAUGAAGGCCUUCGGGUUGUAAAGCACUGUCGAGGGGGAGGAAAGCCGAAAGGUCUGACCUAUCCCUGGAGGAAGCACGGGCUAAGUUCGUGCCAGCAGCCGCGGUAAGACGAACCGUGCGAACGUUGUUCGGAAUCACUGGGCUUAAAGGGCGCGUAGGCGGGCGGUCAAGUCUUUUGUGAAAUCCUUCGGCUUAACCGGAGAAUCGCUGGAGAUACUGGCCGUCUCGAGGGGGGUAGGGGCAUGUGGAACUUCCGGUGGAGCGGUGAAAUGCGUAGAUAUCGGAAGGAACGCCGGUGGCGAAAGCGACGUGCUGGACCCUUUCUGACGCUGAGGCGCGAAAGCCAGGGGAGCAAACGGGAUUAGAUACCCCCGUAGUCC
rnacentral:rRNA from 1 species